rnacentral:rRNA from 1 species
AUUGAACGCUGGCGGCAGGCCUAACACAUGCAAGUCGAGCGCGCGGCGGACGGGUGAGUAAUGUCUGGGAAACUGCCUGAUGGAGGGGGAUAACUACUGGAACAGGUAGCUAAUACCGCCUACCCUCCGAUGUGCCCAGAUGGGAUUAGCUAGUAGGUGGGGUAACGGCUCACCUAGGCGACGCUCCCUAGCUGGUCUGAGAGGAUGACCAGCAAGACUGGAACUGAGACACGUUCCAGACGCCUACGGGAGGCAGCAGUGGGGAAUAUUGCACAAGGGGCGCACGCCUGAUGCAGCCAUGCCGCGUGUUGGAAGAAGGCCUUCGGGUUGGAAAGCACUUGCAGCGAGGAGGCGUUCCCCGCAGAAGAAGCACCGGAUAACUCCGUGCCAGCAGCCGCGGUAAUAG